GACGAACGCUGGCGGCGUGCUUAACACAUGCAAGUCGAACGGAAAGGCCCUGCUUUUGUGGGGUGCUCGGGUGGCGAACGGGUGAGUAACACGUGAGUAACCUGACCUUGACUUUGGGAUAACUUCAGGAAACUGGGGCUAAUACCGGAUAGGAGCUCCUGCUGCAUGGUGGGGGUUGGAAAGUUUCGGCGGUUGGGGAUGGAUGCGCGGCUUAUGAGCUUGUUGGUGGGGUAGUGGCUUACCAAGGCUUUGACGGGUAGCCGGCAUGAGAGGGGGAACGGGGACAUGGGGACUGAGAGACGGCCCAGACUGCUACGGGAGGCAGCAGUGGGGAAUAUUGCACAGUGGGCGGAAGCGUGUUGAAGCAACGCCGCGGGCGGGAUGACGGCCUGCGGGGUGUGAACCGCUUUCGCCUGUGACGAAGCGUGAGUGACGGUAAUGGAUAAAGAAGCACCGGCUAACUACGUG
rnacentral:rRNA from 1 species